rnacentral:rRNA from 1 species
CUUUUCUUGUUUAUAAGUAGGAAAUAUAACCUGCCCACUGAAGAAUUUAAAGGGCCGCGGUAAUUUGACCGUGCAAAGGUAGCAUAAUCAUUAGUUUUUUAAUUGGAGGCUGGAAUGAAUGGUUGGACGAAAUAUAUACUGUCUUAAUUUAAAUUAUUGAAUUUAAUUAUUAGGUAAAAAAGCUUAAAUAAAUUUAUGGGACGAGAAGACCCUAUAGAAUUUAAUAAAUUAUAUUGUUUAUUAUUUGUGUUAAUUUGAUUACAAAUUUUAUUUAUUUUGUUGGGAUGAUGGAAAGAUAAAUUAAACUCUUUUUUAUUUAUAAUUAUAUUGAUAUAUAUAUUUAAUAGAUCCAUUUUUAGUGAUUUAAAGAUUAAAUUACCUUAGGGAUAACAGCGUAAUUCUUUUUGAGAGUUCAUAUCGACAGAAGAGAUUGCGA